AAAGAAAUCAUUAUUUCGCUUCAAAUUUGUGGUCACACAUUGCAUUUUUCAUGAAGGAAACUUCCACUUGUUGCUUCUCGUGUUAUUGCCCUCAAAGUGUUUGCUUUAAUUCCUCUUUUCGUUUUUUCUUGUCAUGAGCAGAUGACUCUAUAUUCAACGUGUCUGCUUUAAAUAGGCGCAAACCUCACAGUGCUUCUGCUGCAGAUGCCCUCAAAGUGUUUGCUUUAAUGUCCGAUCAUCCCACUUCCAUAGAAGUACUUCACUUAGUAUCAACGAUUACUACAACAUCACGUACGUUAUUGCCUCGCCAGCUCACCGUAUUCAUUCCAAUCACGCCAUAAGAUACGAGUAUACCACCAUCAUGCGAAAAGGGAUCCAACGCCACUUGACAUCCGUCCCCGAUAUGGACCUCAUCAAGAUUCGUGCACAACCACUAUUCCUUUAACGCGACCUGCCAGUUCUUGACGACACUCUUGCCGACCUCCUCGCGCUCAUCCAUAUGACCCCUUCUCUCAAAAAGAGCGGACGCCUCUCGCUCUCGCUCUCGCUCUCGCUCGACCCUCCUGAUUUCAUUUCUCGAAGCCAAAGGCAGCCGCCAUUCGCAGAAGACAUCAUGGACACCCAGGUCCUCCAUCUCGCCGUAGCGGAGCUCGACGGCGACUCCUUCGUCGCUGGCUUUGCCUACUACGUUCGCUGCAAAACCCUAAUCCAGCUUCUAGACUUCGCCCAGCGCGAGGGUACCCGUACGGGACGCGGAGGAGGAGGAUGGUGAACGGGCCAUUCUUGUUGGGCGUCGGAGGAAGACCCAUGGGGCUUGCCGAUUCCUGCGAGGUUGCCUCCGCUGCAAACGGUUCUUGACGGCUUGGCGACCUGUCAAUGGAUCGAGGAGUUCUUUGGUAAAGAAAACGUUAAUACAACUUGUGAUGUACAGGACAUGCUUGGGGAACAAUGAUUCAACAAGUAUUCGAUCGGUGGCUUUGGGGAUGGCACCGAAGAGUUCCAUCUCACAAACUCGUAAUGCUGAUUGGGGUCAGUUAACACCUUAAAGAAAGGGUUUCCUACUUACUAAUCCCUCUCUCCUAAGCGGUAGUUUACAAAUAAAAGGAUCUAUUUUUUCAUAAAGCUGAUGGUGGAUUAGAGCUCUGAGGCUCACUUUUGUCCAAUUCUCAAGCCAAAUCAUUCUGACUGACUGGAUGGGAUGCUAAACUAUAUGAACAAGCUUUCAAAUAUGGGUUGAAAUUUGCUUAAAGAAGACAUGUACAUGAAUAUCUGAAUCAUGGGUGGUGGUGUUUUACAGUUAUUUAAGCUUGUUGUGGUACCCCAAAAACAAAAACAAAAAAAAUCAUAUUUGUUGAGAUUGUUGGUAAUGGUAAUGAUUUGAAAGAGAUUAUAUCUUGUUUUCCUGGAUUCAAA